CGAAAGGGGCAGUAAUACAUGGGUAACCUACCCUGGGGCCUGGGAUAGCUGUUCUAACGGACAGGUAAUACCAGGUAAGCCGGUUGUGUCGCAUGACACGAUCGGGAGAGGGCAACCGCCCUAGGAGGGGCCCAUGCGAUAUUAGCUAGUUGGCGGGGUAAUGGUCCACCAAGGCGAUGAUGUCUAGCGGGUGUGAGAGCACGACCCGCGCCAUUGGCACUGAGACACUGGCCAGACUCCUACGGGAGGCUGCAGUCGAGAAUCUUCGGCAAUGGGCGAAAGCCUGACCGAGCGACGCCGCGUGUGCGAUGAAGGCCCUUCGGGUUGUAAAGCACUGUCGAGAGGAAACAAGCCGCAAGGUUGAGUGACCUCUGGAGGAAGCACGGGCUAAGUUCGUGCCAGCAGCCGCGGUAAGACGAACCGUGCGAACGUUGUUCGGAAUCACUGGGCUUAAAGGGUGCGUAGGCGGAAUGGCAAGUCGGAGGUGAAAGCCCCCAGCUUAACUGGGGAAGUGCCCUCGAUACUGCUGUUCUCGAGAGAGGUAGGGGCGUGUGGAACUUCCGGUGGAGCGGUGAAAUGCGUAGAUAUCGGAAGGAACGCCGGUGGCGAAAGCGAUGCGCUGGACCUUUUCUGACGCUGAGGCACGAAAGCUAGGGGAGCGAACGGGAUUAGAUACCCCGGUAGUCCUAGCCCUAAACGAUGGGUACUGGGUUGCGGGUCAGACAUGGACUCGCAGCCGAAGCAAAAGUGGUAAGUACCCCGCCUGGGGGAGUAUGGUCGCAAGGCUGAAACUCAAAGGAAUUGACGGGGGCUCACACAAGCGGUGG
rnacentral:rRNA from 1 species